UACGUAGGGUGCAAGCGUUGUCCGGAAUUAUUGGGCGUAAAGAGCUCGUAGGCGGUUUGUUGCGUCGGCUGUGAAAUCCCGAGGCUCAACCUCGGGUCUGCAGUCGAUACGAGCAAACUAGAGUGUUGCAGGGGAGACUGGAAUUCCUGGUGUAGCGGUGAAAUGCGCAGAUAUCGGGGAGGAACACCCGUAGCGAAGGCGGCACUCUGGGCCGGUACUGACGCUGAGGAGCGAAAGCGUGGGGAGCGAACAGG
rnacentral:rRNA from 1 species